rnacentral:ncRNA from 1 species
CCGGCUCCGGUUCACCCCGAAGAACAGCAACGGGGACCCGGCGGCC